rnacentral:tRNA from 15 species
UGGGGUGGUAGCUCAACUGGUUAGAGCAUUCGCCUGUCACGCGAAAGGUUGAGGGUUCGAGUCCCUUCCAUCCCGA